rnacentral:rRNA from 1 species
CACGUAGGGCGCAAGCGUUGUCCGGAAUUAUUGGGCGUAAAGAGCUCGUAGGCGGUCUGUUGCGUCCGCUGUGAAAACUCGGGGCUUAACCCCGAGCCUGCAGUGGAUACGGGCAGACUAGAGGUAGGUAGGGGAGAAUGGAAUUCCCGGUGUAGCGGUGAAAUGCGCAGAUAUCGGGAGGAACACCGGUGGCGAAGGCAGCCCCCUGGGUCAAGACUGACGCUCAUGCACGAAAGCGUGGGGAGCAAACGAGG